GGAGGGAUGGCCGAGUGGUUUAAGGCGGCGGUCUUGAAAACCGCUGACGGAAACGUCCGUGGGUUCGAAUCCUACUCCCUCCGCCA
rnacentral:tRNA from 2 species